rnacentral:rRNA from 1 species
AGUGAACGCUGGCGGCAUGCUUUACACAUGCAAGUCGAACGGUAACAGGCCUUCGGGUGCUGCCUAGUGGCGAACGGGUGAGUAAUGCUUCGGAACGCACCCAGAGGUGGGUGUUAACGCAGCAUAAGCUGUGCUAAUACCCCAUGAGACCGCAGACGGACAGCGGGGGAACGCACGGGAACGUUUGGCCUUGCGCCUUUGGAUCAGCCGAUGUCGGAUUAGCUAGUUGGUGGGGUAAAGGCCUACCAAGGCGACGAUCCGUAGCUGGUCUGAGAGGACGAACAGCCACACUGGGACUGAGACACGGCCCAGACUCCUACGGGAGGCAGCAGUGGGGAAUAUUGGACAAUGGGCGCAAGCCUGAUCCAGCAAUGCCGCGUGGGGGAAGAAGGCCUUCGGGUUGUAAACCGCUUUUGGCAGGAACGAAACGGUGUACGCUAAUACCGGGCGCUACUGACGGUACCUGAAGAAUAAGCACCGGCUAACUACGUG